UGUUGCGUGGCCCAACACAGUAGCAAUUGGAACGCUGCGCCGGUUGCUUCGGUCCUUAUAUAUAGUCAUUUUAUAUAGAAAUCCAUUGCCGCCCGACGCGCGACGCCGCCAUUUUCCGCCGCAUCUACACCGCUACAGUAUACAGGCAGUGCAGUACCACACAGUAUAAUUCUCACCUUCAUUUUCGGCAAUUCGGAUUUCUGUAGACAGCAGCCAAGAUGCCAGGUUUCAGCAGCGUAGGCACUUUCAAGAUAUUUAUUGGAAACUUGGCCGACAAGACGACCAACGCCGACAUCAAGCCGUUAUUUGAAAAAUACGGCAAGGUUGUCGAAUGCGACGUCGUGAAAAAUUAUGGCUUUGUGCACAUGGAAAAUGAAGAAGCAGGAAGGAAUGCCAUUCAAAACCUGAAUGGUAACAUGGUUCAUGGUCAGCCCAUUAAGUGUGAAGCUGCCAAGAGCCGUAAAGGACCCAACACUCCAACUACCAAAAUUUUUGUUGGUAACCUAACUGAUAAUACUAAGGCUCCUCAAGUUCGUGAACUUUUUGCAAAGUAUGGUACUGUGGUUGAGUGUGACAUUGUUCGCAACUAUGGUUUUGUCCAUCUCGAGGCAUCUGGAGAUGUUAAUGAAGCCAUCAAGGAGUUGAAUGGUCAAAUUGUUGAUGGAGAAGCUAUGAAAGUACAAAUUUCAACCAGUCGUGUCCGCCAAAGGCCAGGCAUGGGUGAUCCAGAGCAAUGCUACAGAUGUGGUAGAGGUGGACAUUGGUCAAAGGAAUGUCCCAAGGGUGGUAUGGGUGGUGGCCCUGACAGGAAUGGUUUCAGAGACAGAAUGUUUGGUCGCGACCCUUACCCACCACCACCACCUCCCCCAUUUCUCCGGGACAGACUCAUGGGAGGAGCACGCUUUGGAAACUAUCCUCCUUUCCAAGACUAUGAUAGCUAUUAUGAUCGUCGUGGUUUUGACGAAUCAAGAGACUUGUAUGAGAGAAGGUUCACGGGUAUGACUGGUAUGUCUGGCAAUUAUAACACAGCUGGCAUGGGUUCAAUGCGUGAUACUGGAUUCAGAAGUGGUGGCCAAGAUUAUGGCAUGUUCAGCCGGCGGUCACCACCACCAGCAGGCAACAAUGGAAGAUUUGGAAGGAGCAGAUUGGUCGACCCUCAAAAUGGCUGAUUGUAUAAAUAAAACAUUCAAUCAGAUAUAAAUUGGAUUAUUGAAUAUAAUUAAACUGAUGGUGCUGGAAAUGAGGGAGAAAGGGAACAAUUUGCUGUCAACUAUUCAUGAGGAUUUCUGUUGAUAGCCUGGAUUAUUGAUUCUUUGGGCUUUUCGAAGAUGACCGAAGACACACAUACACGCAAUAAGCAAACUCACCGGUGCUCUCAUACAGCAUGAUGUAUAGAAUGCCGAUGCCACCACCGCCACCACCACCUGGCCCGACUCCCCAGUGAAAUCUGAAUACACAAGAUGCUACUAUUUCAGUAUAAAUAAUUUAUGAUUCAGUGAAUGUGUGUGAUGUAUGUAAGAAUCUGAGAAUCUGAGAACAAGAGAGAAAGAGAGAGAGAGAGAAAAAAACUUUUACGUAAUAAUAUCGACUAAUGUAUAUUGAUGAUGAUAUAUGAAUAAAAAAUUUUUUACUUUUACA
rnacentral:misc_RNA from 1 species